rnacentral:rRNA from 1 species
UUAGAUACCCUGGUAGUNCACGCCGUAAACGAUGUCGACUUGGAGGUUGUGCCCUUGAGGCGUGGCUUCCGGAGCUAACGCGUUAAGUCGACCGCCUGGGGAGUACGGCCGCAAGGUUAAAACUCAAAUGAAUUGACGGGGGCCCGCACAAGCGGUGGAGCAUGUGGUUUAAUUCGAUGCAACGCGAAGAACCUUACCUACUCUUGACAUCCAGAGAACUUAGCAGAGAUGCUUUGGUGCCUUCGGGAACUCUGAGACAGGUGCUGCAUGGCUGUCGUCAGCUCGUGUUGUGAAAUGUUGGGUUAAGUCCCGCAACGAGCGCAACCCUUAUCCUUUGUUGCCAGCGGUCCGGCCGGGAACUCAAAGGAGACUGCCAGUGAUAAACUGGAGGAAGGUGGGGAUGACGUCAAGUCAUCAUGGCCCUUACGAGUAGGGCUACACACGUGCUACAAUGGCGCAUACAAAGAGAAGCGACCUCGCGAGAGCAAGCGGACCUCAUAAAGUGCGUCGUAGUCCGGAUUGGAGUCUGCAACUCGACUCCAUGAAGUCGGAAUCGCUAGUAAUCGUAGAUCAGAAUGCUACGGUGAAUACGUUCCCGGGCCUUGUACACACCGCCCGUCACACCAUGGGAGUGGGUUGCAAAAGAAGUAGGUAGCUUAACCUUCGGGAGGGCGCUUACCACUUUGUGAUUCAUGACUGGGGUGAAGUCGUAACAAGGUAA